rnacentral:rRNA from 1 species
ACCCAGAGGGUUGUUCUUAACAAUAUUUUAACUAAAAUUGCUAUUAUAUUUAUUUUUAUAGAAACAUCUAUUAGUUAAGUAAAGGCGAUUAAAAUUUUAUUUUUAAAAGUUAUUAAGUACUGUAAAGGAAUAAAAUUAAUUUUAUAAAAGCAGCCAAUAAAGGCGUACCUUUUGCAUCAUGGUUUAGCUAGAAUUCCCUGAAAAUUCAAAAUCUCGAAGUUUGAUGAGCUACUUUAAAAUUUAUAUUAGUAAGUCAAAAGUGGGUGUUGCAAAACCCUUUAGAAAUUUUAAAGUAGAAAUUAGAUUUUAUUCGUAUCAAACGAUAGCUAGUUUUCUUAUAAAAGCAUAUAAGUGCUAAAAUUUAAAUAUUUAGUUAAAAAAUUUAAUAACUAAUAUAAAAAAUUUUAAAGGCUUUUGAGGAUAAGCUCAAAAGCAUGUUAAAUUAAAGCAUCAAAACACUUAAAAAAAUUUAGGCUUGAAAUUGGCCAUGAUUUUAAAUUUGUUAUAAAUUAUUUUACUAUAAGUGUAUAAUAAUUAAGCUUGGCUAUAAUAAGAAAUAUUUUUAUGACUAAUUAAAAAUAUUUUAAUGCUAAAAUGAGUAUUAAAUAUUUAUAAAAGUUUAUUAUUUUAAAAUAAACACAAAGUUAAGUUAUUUUAAUAAAAUUAUUGAAAGGAACUCGGCAAAUUUUGUUUCGCCUGUUUAUCAAAAACAUCGCUCUUUGGAAUUAAUAUAUAAAGAGUCGAGCCUGCCCAGUGAUAUAUAUUUAACGGCCGCGGUACUCUGACCGUGCAAAGGUAGCAUAAUCAUUUGCCUUAUAAUUGAAGGCUAGUAUGAAUGGUUUGACGAAAACAAUACUGUCUCUCUCUAAUUUUAUAGAACUUGAUUUUUAGGUGAAGAAGCCUAAAUAAAAUUGAAAGACAAGAAGACCCUAUCGAGCUUAAAAAAAUUUUGUUAAAAUAAAAUGGCUAUAAAAGAACAUCUGUACCAAAAAAUUUUAGUUGGGGCGACUAAGGAACAUACAAAGCUUCCACCACAGUAAUAAAGGCUUUUUAGCUAUGAUCCAAAAUUUUUGAUUAAAAGAAUUAGUUACCGUAGGGAUAACAGCAUAAUCUUUUUUGAGAGUUCUUAUCGAAAAAAAGGUUUGUGACCUCGAUGUUGGACUAGAAUAUCCUAAAUGAUGCAGAAGUCUUUAAGGGUUGGUCUGUUCGACCACUAAUAUUCUACAUGAUCUGAGUUCAGACCGGCGUGAGCCAGGUCAGUUUCUAUCUUCAAUUAUAUAUUUUUAACCUAGUACGAAAGGAUCGGGUAAAAAUAAAAGUUAUUAAAGAAGAUUUAGUAUAAAGCUAAUUAAAAGUUU